CCUACGGGUGGCAGCAGUAGGGAAUCUUCCACAAUGGGCGAAAGUCUGAUGGAGCAACGCCGCGUGAGGGAAGAAGGCUUUCGGCUCGUAAAGCUCUUUUUGUAGGGAAGAAAGAUAGAGGUAGUAACUGGCCUUGAUUGUACGGGAAUUACUUAGAAAGGCACGGCUAACUACGUGCCAGCAGCCGCGGUAAUACGUAGGUGGCAAGCGUUGUCCGGAUUGAUUGGGUGUAAAGCGAGUGCAGGCGGUUCAAUAAGUCUGAUGUGAAAGCCUUCGGCUCAACCGGGGAAUUGCAUCAGAAACUGUUGAACUAGAGUGCAGAAGAGGAGAGUGGAACUCAAUGUGUAGCGGUGGAAUGCGUAGAGAUAUGGAAGAACACCAGUGGCGAAGGCGGCUCUCUGGUCUGCAACUGACGCUGAGGCUCGAAAGCGUGGGUAGCGAACAGGAUUAGAUACCCGAGUAGUC
rnacentral:rRNA from 1 species